rnacentral:rRNA from 1 species
CCCUUAUAUGUUCUGGGCCGCACGCGCGCUACACUGAUGCAUUCAACGAGUUUCUUCCUGGUCCGAGAGGAAUGGGUAACCUUUUGAAAGUGCAUCGUGAUAGGGAUAGACUAUUGCAAUUAUUGGUCUUCAACGAGGAAUUCCUAGUAGACGUAGUUCAUCAGACUGCAUCGAUUACGUCCCUGCCCUUUGUACACACCGCCCGUCGCUCCUACCGAUUGAAUGCUCAGGUGAGCCAUUCGGACUUUCAUCAUGCUGGUUUCCAGUUUUGAUGAAGGAAAGUCUUGCGAACCUUAUCAUUUAGAGGAAGGAGAAGUCGUAACA